GCCUCUUUAGCUUAGUGGUAGACCGUCUGCUUUGUAAGCAGUAGGUCGUCAGCUCGAUCCUCGCCAGUGGCU